UACAGAGGGUGCAAGCGUUGCUCGGAAUUAUUGGGCGUAAAGGGUAGGUAGGUGGUCUCAUUUGUCAGGGGUGAAAGCCCUGGGCUUAACCCAGGAAGUGCCCUUGAAACGGUGGGACUAGAGUACUGGAGAGGGUCGUGGAAUUCCCGGUGUAGCGGUGAAAUGCGUAGAGAUCGGGAGGAACAUCUGAGGCGAAGGCGACGACCUGGACAGUAACUGACACUCAACUACGAAAGCGUGGGGAUCAAACAGG
rnacentral:rRNA from 1 species